GACUUGAAGCCAAGAGCUCUACAAGAGCAGGAAGUGCUCUUAACUGAAGUGUGGAGAUAGCUCUCCAGCCCCUGCCUUGGUUCCUCCUGAUAAUGGCAGGGGCUAUCCUCAGUUCCUCCCUUUGCCUUACCAAUGACAUCUUUUAUAUUGCUAAAUUAGCUCUGUACAGUGUGCACGCCUCUCCAGCCCUGUGCCCUCGUCACAGACUGCCAUCUUGUGGUCCACUGAGCAGCUGCCUCUGGUAUCUGGCUUUCCACACCAUCUCCAGCACGGGCCAGGGGACUGAUGAAUCUUCUAUAAACUUCUGCUUCCUGACUGAAUACCUCUUCUGGCUCCUCACUGUCCCUGGAUGAAACACAGUCCUAGCGUGAGCUCCCCCUGCUCUGUCCCCCACAUAGUCUGUAGUGGGAUGCUCUGGCCACAGGGGCUUUCUGCUCAUACUUGCUUUGGCCUGCCAGCUUCCAUUUUCCUCUGACCAGAGUACUUUCUCUCUCAGACAUACAUGUGGCUAGAUCACAUCAGCGCAUGUGUCACCCCUUCAAGGAGUCACCGUCACCAGGGAAGUGUGGAACUUCACUUCUUAUCACACUGUCUUCUGUUUUUUCUUUUCUUUCUGUCACCUACCUUCAUUUAACGUUCCCUUGCUGUGUCUCAGAUUCCCCACUGUCCCUGUCCCUAGGCCUGUUCUGGGCCUGGUGCAAAGCAGGCACUCAGGGAACACAGACUGACCAUACCAGUCGAUAAGCAGCCCGGGGGAAGCUGAGUUCUUUCAGAUAGGUCAGGUCAUUCCCACCAGCAGAGAGGUUUCAGGGGCCUCGCCCUAGGCAGAUUUCCUCAGUAAAGCAGGAGUGGGAGGAGCAUUGAUGGAAGAGGUCUAGAAGAUCCCCUGGGGAUGGGAGGGAAGACAGAGGCUGCUUCUGCCCCUCCCCAGGUCUGCCGCCACAAACUGGAACUCCAUUAAUACAGUUUCCUUCAGCUACAGUGAGACAGACUGACGACCCUGGACCUUAGCCAGGCUUUGGUUAAGCUCUGUCUGGUUCUGAUAUUGUAUCUAUCUCCUCCAUUCUCUCUCUCUCUCUCUCUCUCUCUCUCUCUCUCUCUCUCUCUCUCUCUCUCUCUCUCUCUCUCCAUUUGGGCUUCUGUUAUCGCCUGGUCCGUAGUCUCUGGUCCUUGAUUCUAUGGCAGUGGUUCUCAUCCUUCCCAAAGCAACCCUUUCAUACAGUUCCCCUUUUCAUACAGUUCCUCAUGUUGUGAUGACCUACAACCAUUAAAAUUACCUUUCUUGCUACUUCAUAACUGCAAUUUUGCUAUGGCUAUGGCUUUUAAUAUAAAUACUUUUGGAGACAGAGGUUUGCCAAAGGGGUCUGGACCCACAGGUUGAGAACCACUGUAUUAGAAAGAGCUUUUGUAAGCAGUGCCUGUGUGUUUUCUUCAUUUCAUGCAGGACUUAUGCAGUAUAAAAGGCACCACGGUUCUUUUUUUUUUUUUUCCCAAGAUGGGAGACAGCCAAGUUGGCCUCAGGACUUGAGGCGGUUGAGUUUAUGAGGGGGAGGAGGAGGUGGGCAAAGGCAGGCCAGCCAGUGAACAAAGGUGAGCUGACAGGAAAGACGAACCAGACGGCCCAGAACCCAGAAGAGGCCCCAGUCCUCUGAGACGAAUGUCUCAGGGGGUCCUCUACUAAAGUCUGAACCGGGUGAAGAAGGGGAGUCUCUUUUAGCCAAGAUCUCCACACACAUGAAAGAGAAAACCCUGUUUGACAAGUAAAUGAGGCCAACCGAAGGCCCCGGGUAUCUUCUCCUCUGUCCUCCAUUGGAUUCAGCAUCUCACGGGGCACCAGGAAGCCACUCUGGGUCUGUUGGACUCGGCUUGGAAGAAGCUCUCUUCCUUGCUUUCAGGUCAGGGGGAUGUCCCUGGACUUCUGAUCUUAGAGAGCCAGUGUGCAAGUGGCAUGGUCUGGGUCUACGUGACUGGGAAGGCUUCGAAGAUGUCAAUAGAUGCCUGUGAUCUUGCAGCACCCGCCUGGACGAACCCACUGUGGGCUCAGAUCUAAAUGCUUGACUCUUAUCUGACAAAUGUCCACACGCAGGGGAGCAGCCGUGACCCCCCCUGUGAUGAAUUUCUCCAUGGCUGAGUUGCUUUCGUUUUAAAUUUCCCACAUGGAGACGUCCCGAGUUUUAGAGGUCAUUGAGCCAACUUCUCAGCCAUUAACGGAGUCUCCGAAACUGGAGUUUUCAAGCCCUUUGCUCACUAUUCACAAGAAUAAAUGUACUUUACACCGUGACCUAGCACUCACCUGACUAAUAAAUGUUUCACAGGACCAAAGCUCCAUGCUCUCACAGUAACCCAUCCUGUGGAUCUGCUAAUCCCCAGCCCUCAGGGGGAUGCCCACCCAGCAGGAGCCCACUGAGCCUGGGCCCUUCUGCCAUCGUCUUCACACAGUGGAGUGUUGAGUGGAUGUUUUCAAUGGGAAAAGAAAAAAAAAACCAACUUGGUAU